rnacentral:rRNA from 1 species
UACAGAGGUCUCAAGCGUUGUUCGGAUUCAUUGGGCGUAAAGGGUGCGUAGGUGGCGCGCUAAGUCAGGUGUGAAAUUUCGGAGCUCAACUCCGAAACUGCAUUUGAUACUGGCGUGCUUGAGGACUGGAGAGGAGACUGGAAUUUACGGUGUAGCAGUGAAAUGCGUAGAGAUCGUAAGGAAGACCAGUGGCGAAGGCGGGUCUCUGGACAGCUCCUGACACUGAGGCACGAAGGCCAGGGGAGCAAACGGG